AUUGAACGCUUGCGGCAGGCCUAACACAUGCAAGUCGAACGAGUGGCGGACGGGUGAGUAAUGUCUGGGAAACUUCCUGAUUGAGGGGGAUAACUACUGGAACCGGUAGCUAAUACCGCAUACCCUCGGAUGUGCCCAGAUGGGAUUAGCUUGGCGGUUGGGUAACGUCUCACCUAGGCGACGAUCCCUAGCUGGUCUGAGAGGAUGACCACCCACACGGGAACGCAGACACGGUCCAGACUCCUACGGUAGGCAGCAGUGGGGAAUAUUGGAAAAUGGGCGCAAGCCUGAUGCAGCCAUGCCGCGUGUAUGAAGAAGGCCUUCGGGUUGUAAAGUACUUUCAGCGGGGAGGCGUUACCCGCAGAAGAAGCACCGGCUAACUCCGUGCCAGCAGCCGCGGUAAUUC
rnacentral:rRNA from 1 species